UACGAAGGGGCUAGCGUUGCUCGGAAUCACUGGGCGUAAAGCGCACGUAGGCGGACUCUUAAGUCGGUGGUGAAAUCCUGGAGCUCAACUCCAGAACUGCCUUCGAUACUGAGAGUCUCGAGUCCGGGAGAGGUGAGUGGAACUGCGAGUGUAGAGGUGAAAUUCGUAGAUAUUCGCAAGAACACCAGUGGCGAAGGCGGCUCACUGGCCCGGUACUGACGCUGAGGUGCGAAAGCGUGGGGAGCAAACAGG
rnacentral:rRNA from 1 species